rnacentral:rRNA from 1 species
GAUGAACGCUGGCGGCGUGCCUAAUACAUGCAAGUCGAGCGGACGGACGAGAAGCUUGCUUCUCUGAUGUUAGCGGCGGACGGGUGAGUAACACGUGGAUACCCUACCUAUAAGACUGGGAUAACUUCGGGAAACCGGAGCUAAUACCGUAUGAUCUUUUGAACCGCAUGGUUCAAAAGUGAAAGACGGUCUUGCUGUCACUUAUAGAUGGAUCCGCGCUGCAUUAGCUAGUUGGUAAGGUAACGGCUUACCAAGGCAACGCUGCAUAGCCGACCUGAGAGGGUGAUCGGCCACACUGGAACUGAGACACGGUCCAGACUCCUACGGGAGGCAGCAGUAGGGAAUCUUCCGCAAUGGGCGAAAGCCUGACGGAGCAACGCCGCGUGAGUGAUGAAGGUCUUCGGAUCGUAAAACUCUGUUAUUAGGGAAGAACAUAUGUGGAAGUAACUGUGCACAGCUUGACGGUACCUAAUCAGAAAGCCACGGCUAACUACGUG